CUAACAUCAGCUCUGAGGACAGAGGAGAAUAUUACUGUGAGGCCCAGAAUGGAAGAGGAUCUAUGAACUCUACAGCUCUGAUGAUCAUUGUAGCAGGGAAACAAACCUCAGUUGUGACUGCAGCUGUAGGAAUCAUAGUUGUUGUUCUGGUUCUCAUCCUCUGUUUCUCUGGACUCAUGUGGUUCAGGUGAGUUUUUUUGUUGUUUAUUAUUUCACUUUAGAAGAUUAAAUAAUUCAUUCAUUCAUUCAUUUGUUUACAAAACAGGAAUAAAGCCUCCAAAUCCACCUCUGACACAAGAGGCACAGCAGACGAUGGACAGGGAGACUCUAGUCCAGUGUAUGACAACAUCUCAGGCAUGGUCAUGACCUCUACUGCAGCACAGACAGCAGCCACAGACGACCAGGAUGAUGUUCACUACGCCAGCGUCCACUUCUCUCGUUCCAAAAACCAGGAAGUGCCUCUGUACUCCACCGUCCAAGUGCCUCAGCCCCAGAAAGAGGAUGAGGAUGUCCAGUACGCUGCUCUGAAUUUCAACCUCCCAGUGCUGCCACCCGCAGCACAAGCAGAUGAGGAGGACUCCUCUGUUCUCUACAGUACAGUCAACAAACCCUGAACCAAGAAGACCUGAACGCAACAAACGCAGAACCAAGAAGACCUGAACACAACAAACCCAGAAAGAAGAAGACCUGAAAAGAACAAACCCAGAAAGAAGACCUGAACAGAACACGUUUGACAAAAACCUUGUAUAUCUUCACCUGUAUAUUUAAACUAAGUGAUAUAAUGCCUGUGGAGGUGUGGAAUAUUGACCAUUAUAAACCAGAUGGUUUGAGCCGUGAAUGCUGAUUAGCUGAAAGGCGUGGUAUACCAGAUCGUAUACCAUGGGUAUUUAAAUUUGUAUUUACUGGUCUAAGUAC